rnacentral:piRNA from 1 species
UCCACAGGACAGACAGACCAGGAGUUGGGGU